rnacentral:lncRNA from 1 species
CUCGAUGGGCAUCCUCUGCUGUAGAUCUUUGUUCUUCUUCUUCGGUUGGAAUAAUGGAACUAAAGUCCUCGAGAGAACCAAAAUUCCAUUCUCCUUUUUCAUCAAACUCCACGUCCCGACUUAUCACAAGCUUGUUAGUAUCUGAUUAUAUAAUUUGUAGCCUUUGGAGUUGGAAUCAUACCCGAUAAAGAUGAACGCCUUACUUU